GACGAACGCUGGCGGCGUGCUUAACACAUGCAAGUCAAGGGGAAAGGUUAAUUUCGGUUGACCGAGUAUACUGGCGAACGGGUGAGUAACACGUAGGUAACCUGCCUAUGAGAUUGGGAUAACACUGCAAACGUGGUGCUAAUACUGGAUGACGCCUUUUGCUCACAUGAGCGGGAGGUUAAAGCGAGCUUUGGCUUGUGCUCAUAGAUGGACCUGCGUCUCAUUAGCUAGUUGGCGGGGUAACGGCCCACCAAGGCGACGAUGGGUAGCCGACCUGAGAGGGUGACCGGCCACACUGGGACUGAGAUACGGCCCAGACACCUACGGGUGGCAG
rnacentral:rRNA from 1 species